rnacentral:tRNA from 1 species
GGGAUAUAGCUGCAUGGUACAGCCCCUGCCUGGCAAGCACGAGGUCCUAAGUUCGAUUCCCAGUACCCA